AUUGAACGCUGGCGGCAUGCCUUACACAUGCAAGUCGAACGGCAGCACGGGAGUAAUCCUGGUGGCGAGUGGCGAACGGGUGAGUAAUAUAUCGGAACGUGCCCAGUCGUGGGGGAUAACGCAGCGAAAGCUGUGCUAAUACCGCAUACGAUCCCGGGAUGAAAGCGGGGUACCGUAAGGCGUCGCGCGAUUGGAGCGGCCGAUAUCAGAUUAGCUAGUUGGUGGGGUAAAGGCCCACCAAGGCGACGAUCUGUAGCUGGUCUGAGAGGACGACCAGCCACACUGGAACUGAGACACGGUCCAGACUCCUACGGGAGGCAGCAGUGGGGAAUUUUGGACAAUGGGCGCAAGCCUGAUCCAGCAAUGCCGCGUGCAGGAUGAAGGCCUUCGGGUUGUAAACUGCUUUUGUACGGAACGAAACGGCGAGCUCUAAUAAAGUUUGCUAAUGACGGUACCGUAAGAAUAAGCACCGGCUAACUACGUGCCAGCCGCCGCAGUAA
rnacentral:rRNA from 1 species